CCUACGGGAGGCAGCAGUAGGGAAUAUUGCUCAAUGGGGGAAACCCUGAAGCAGCAACGCCGCGUGGGGGAUGAAGGUUUUCGGAUUGUAAACUCCUUUUGUUAGAGAAGAUAAUGACGGUAUCUAACGAAUAAGCACCGUCUAAACCCGUGCCAGCAGCCGUGGUAAUACGGAGGGUGCAAGCGUUAAUCGGAAUCAAUGGGCGUAAAGAGCGCGUAGGCGGGAUAGCAAGUCAGAUGUGAAAUCCUAGGGCUUAACCAUAGAACUGCAUUUGAAACUGUUAGUCUCGAGUAUGGGAGAGGUAGGUGGAAUGCGCGGUGUAGGGGUAAAAUGCGUAGAGAUCAAGAGGAAUACUGAUUGCGAAGGCGACAUGCCAGCACCUAACUGACGCUGAUGCGCGAAAGCGUGGGGAGCAAACAGGAUUAGAUACCCGUGUAGUC
rnacentral:rRNA from 1 species